UUGGACCUCGGAUCAGGUAGGGAUACCCGCUGAACUUAAGCAUAUCAAUAAGCGGAGGA
rnacentral:rRNA from 6 species